ensembl:lncRNA
GAGACAACAGACGCCUCUGUGUGGCAGAGCGCCGCGAUUCCACUCAGAGCGGGGCUUCAUGAGGAGGUAGGAGCGGACCGGAGAGCUGACACGUCGAGCGGUUUCACGCUCCUUCAGGAUACCGACUCCAGAGAGAGGCGUCCCGGGGUCAGCUCGGACACCAGCCCGGACACCAGCCCGGACAUGGCGGAGGAGGCCUGCGAGCAGAUGCGCCCUCUCCUCCUCACAUCUCAUCCCCCCCCACCUGGACCUUCAUGUGUCAUCACCGUGGAGCUGUGAGCUCUGGUCCAUGGAGCCC